rnacentral:rRNA from 1 species
AUGGCGGACAUAGCGAUGCUGGUGGCCGACGAGGCGUUCGAGAAGAGGCUGCAGCGAGGGGCGCCCUUCGCCGGCGCCGGCGAGGAGGCGUCCAAGGGACGGGAGAACUUCGGGGCCGUGACCAAGGUGUGGGGCUCCUGGGCGUCGGGGGUCAAGGUGAGCGUCGCGCUCCUCGUCAAGGCCGACGUGGCCGAGCCCAGGAGCCCGGUCGCCCGGGCAGCCUUCGACGGCUUCUUCUCUGCUUGA